rnacentral:rRNA from 1 species
GAUGAACGCUAGCUACAGGCUUAACACAUGCAAGUCGCGGGGCAGCAUGGGGGUUGCUUGCAAUCCCCGAUGGCGACCGGCGCACGGGUGAGUAGCGCGUAUCCAACCUGCCCUUCACCACGGGAUAACCCGGCGAAAGUCGGACUAAUACCGUAUGUUGUCCAUUGACGGCCUCCGAUUUGGACGAAAGGCUUGGCGGUGAGGGAUGGGGAUGCGUCCGAUUAGCCAGACGGCGGGGUAACGGCCCACCGUGGCUACGAUCGGUAGGGGUUCUGAGAGGAAGGUCCCCCACACUGGAACUGAGACACGGUCCAGACUCCUACGGGAGGCAGCAGUGAGGAAUAUUGGUCAAUGGGCGUAAGCCUGAACCAGCCAAGUAGCGUGCAGGAUGACGGCCCUAUGGGUUGUAAACUGCUUUUAUGCGGGGAUAAAGUGGCCCACGUGUGGGCUUUUGCAGGUACCGCAUGAAUAAGGACCGGCUAAUUCCGUG